AACGAACGCUGGCGGCAUGCCUAACACAUGCAAGUCGAACGAGACCUUCGGGUCUAGUGGCGCACGGGUGCGUAACGCGUGGGAACCUGCCCUUAGGUUCGGAAUAACUCCCCGAAAGGGGUGCUAAUACCGGAUAAUGUCUUCGGACCAAAGAUUUAUCGCCUUUGGAUGGGCCCGCGUUGGAUUAGCUAGUUGGUAGGGUAAAAGCCUACCAAGGCGACGAUCCAUAGCUGGUCUGAGAGGAUGAUCAGCCACACUGGGACUGAGACACGGCCCAGACUCCUACGGGAGGCAGCAGUGGGGAAUAUUGGACAAUGGGCGAAAGCCUGAACCAGCAAUGCCGCGUGAGUGAUGAAGGCCUUAGAGUUGUAAAGCUCUUUUACCCGGGAUGAUAAUGACAGUACCGGGAGAAUAAGCUCCGGCUAACUCCGUG
rnacentral:rRNA from 1 species